CGACCCCAGGUCAGGCGGGACUACCCGCUGAGUUUAAGCAUAUCAAUAAGCGGAAGAAAAGAAACUUACAAGGAUUCCCCUAGUAACGGCGAGCGAACCGGAACAGCCCAGCCUUAGAUCGGGCGGCUCCGCCGUCCGAGUUGGUUUGGUAGUCCUGUCUAGCCUCGUCACUACUUCGGCCGGGGUUAGGCCAGGCACUUACCAGCACAUGGGGUCGUUGUGCUGAUGCUACACUUCUGUGCUCUUUUGCACAGAUCACGGUACCGAGCAACUUUUGGACCACAGCAGUAGGAUAUUGAUCGGGAGCUGACUUCAGUCCAGGGACUUACGAGGUAGCCUAGCUGGCGUUCGCAGGCCGGAGCCCUUUUCUAUGUUUUCAGUUUGUUUCAUUUGACCGUGACAGACAUUUAUGUAUUUUCUAUUCGAGACUUGUUGUAGCUACUCUUUAGUAGUUCGUGAGAUAGCGACUCCAGUCUUGGGUAGAGAAAUGUUAAAACUCGCUUUAGUUUAAACUGACCCGUUAAUCUU
rnacentral:ncRNA from 1 species